rnacentral:rRNA from 1 species
AUUGAACGCUGGCGGCAGGCCUAACACAUGCAAGUCGAACGGUAACAGGAAGCAGCUUGCUGCUUCGCUGACGAGUGGCGGACGGGUGAGUAAUGUCUGGGAAGCUGCCUGAUGGAGGGGGAUAACUACUGGAAACGGUAGCUAAUACCGCAUAAUGUCGCAAGACCAAAGAGGGGGACCUUCGGGCCUCUUGCCAUCGGAUGUGCCCAGAUGGGAUUAGCUUGUUGGUGGGGUAACGGCUCACCAAGGCGACGAUCCCUAGCUGGUCUGAGAGGAUGACCAGCCACACUGGAACUGAGACACGGUCCAGACUCCUACGGGAGGCAGCAGUGGGGAAUAUUGCACAAUGGGCGUAAGCCUGAUGCAGCCAUGCCGCGUGUAUGAAGAAGGCCUUCGGGUUGUAAAGUACUUUCAGCGGGGAGGAAGGGAGUAAAGUUAAUACCUUUACUCAUUGACGUUACCCGCAGAAGAAGCACCGGCUAACUCCGUG